rnacentral:rRNA from 1 species
GGGGAAUAUUGGACAAUGGGCGAAAGCCUGAUCCAGCCAUGCCGCGUGUGUGAAGAAGGUCUUCGGAUUGUAAAGCACUUUAAGUUGGGAGGAAGGGCAGUAAGUUAAUACCUUGCUGUUUUGACGUUACCAACAGAAUAAGCACCGGCUAACUUCGUGCCAGCAGCCGCGGUAAUACGAAGGGUGCAAGCGUUAAUCGGAAUUACUGGGCGUAAAGCGCGCGUAGGUGGUUCGUUAAGUCAGGGGUGAAAUCCUGGGGCUCAACCUCAGAACUGCCCUUGAUACUGGCGAUCUCGAGUUCGAGAGAGGUUGGUGGAACUCCGAGUGUAGAGGUGAAAUUCGUAGAUAUUCGGAAGAACACCAGUGGCGAAGGCGGCCAACUGGCUCGAUACUGACGCUGAGGUGCGAAAGCGUGGGGAGCAAACA